CCCUGAAGGCGCGGGCUGCGUUCUGCGUCUCUCCGCGAUCUCUGCCGGACCGGAACUAAGACCAGACCAUUUUCUUCUGGAAAAAUCAGAAAUUUGUAUUGAUGAAAAAAAAAAGUUGUUCUUGGCCAAAAACAUCAAUCAGCCUCAUCUCCAGAGUGAUCCUCCAAACUCAGGGAGAAUUGCAGUGAAUGACAGUUCCUAUUUCUCAACAUCAUUGUCAGCAUUUGAUGCCGUCAGUGUCCUAGAUUUUGACCAUUAUAAUAGUCAUCCUCCUUAGCCACCUCUGAUGAGUGCAUUGAAGAGGAUGACCUGCUUGGUUAUUCUGCU